GCCGCAUGUUAUCACUUCAGUUGGCUGCAAGGCGCGACGCUUGCACGUUCUGUUUGCCAGAAGUCUGCCAGAUUGCUAUAUAUAUAGUUGCUGCCGCCGUAGGAGUAGGAAAUCGGAAUCGGGGGGAUAUAUUGCUAGGUAAUCGGUUUGAGUUCAUUUUCAUUUAAACGGAAUUAAAUAUGAUGAAAUCAAGGCGAGAGCCAGAGAGAGGCGAAGCGAGAGCCAGCAGCUGUCGAGUGGUGAGGUUUGUUGGGUUCAGAUACAAAUACACACAACCAUACGAGUUCUGUGAUAUGGUGAAGGUGAGUGCGACGACCGUUGCUAAGAAUUUCAGACCCGUCUGUCGCUGUUUUUUCUCGAUCUGCCGUCCGUUGCUGUUUUACAUUUUUGCAUUCUUUUGAAGAGGCAUUUGUAAUCCAUAUAAUAAAUAAAUAAUUGGAGGGAUGGGUUGAGUGCGGUUUCGUAUUGUGUAGUUGGCUAGUAACAAAAUCUCAUCGAAAUCGAGAUUCGAUAUUCGAGGGAAAGAACAGGCGCGCAGCAAUCGCCAGCAGCCACACAAGUUAAAGAGAGUGUCGUUGCUUUGCCCGAGACCAGUGCCAGCGAGAGAGCAGUGGGAGCAGCUAGCUGGGGAGCGCCAGAAAAAAAAAUCGAUAAACUUGAAGCUGCUGAUAGUAGCAGGAGAAACAAAAAAAAAGCCGACAAACAACCACCGCUGAGAAUAGAAAAAGGAAGUCCUCGGCAGCAGGGUCUGACUGACUGCUCUCAGCUUUGCUUAGGCACUGCUCAGCAAAGCAAUCGACGCCUUAUGGCGUGUGGUGCUGCAUCCGUGUCCGCGCUUUCUACCUGACGCGCGCGUCUAACCGCCAAUUUAACAGGCAAACAGCGGGAACAACAGCCAGAGAGCAUAACAGAGCGCCGGAGAACGAUGUGGGAUGUGGGCCAGCGAGUGGGAUAGCCGGAGAGAGCAUUAAUUGCACAGGGUUGUCACUCUAUCACGAAAUACAUAAUACUUAUUGUAUUAACGAAUUUUUAACGAAAAAAUUAACGAUUGGACAACAUAAAACAAACAAUAUUAAAAUUUCACUUUAAACUUAAUUCACUUCAAUCCAUGGGGGUAUAGGUUUGAGGUUGGGGUAUAUUUUGUCUGUGGCUUUUAGUUAACUUUUAUCCCCAAAACGAUAACAAGUUUCGCCACAUCCGAUUACUGAACCAAAUUACUCUGUAUUUGUUGCACGGUGCCACCUGGAAAUACUGGAACUGAAGAAUGCGCGAACAAGCAUUUCACCUCCACAAAUAAUCGUCCAAUCAAAAGCACAACAAUGACACUAAUUCCCAAACAAGAUGCAUUACAAUGAACACAAAUAGUUGGCCAAAAGGAGAGCGCAGCUGAGUACCGAAACGUAGCCCCGAAACUGUGAAUAUCUGAAAUAAAAAACCAAAACCAAUGAUUGCCUAA